rnacentral:lncRNA from 1 species
CCUUUAUUGAGAUUUUAUUUGUGAACUAAGAGUCCACAAUAACCCCAAAAUGGGUUUUCAUGACCGUGAGAGCUCGAGGUUAAGUGCAAGAAUUCCUCAACCUUAACUUUCCAGGAUGAAAGGCGCUCAGGCGCACUGGGGAUGGUCUCAACUCUGCCUGCAACUGAUCAACUGAGAACUGUGUUCACACAAAUAGCGCGAGUGGAUGGUGGGGUCUUCCAGAGGCUGCAUGACCUGGGAUGGCGAUGGAUUGAAUGCGGAUGCAGAUAAGGGAUUCUGUCUUCUGUUAAGUCAGACAUUAGAGAGAUUUGCACAAUGUAAAACAGU